UCUUCAUGAACAAAAAUGGCUUCAAAUGUUUCCAUUUUCGCUACUGACCGCUGUAAGAGCUCCACUUGCAGGUGCAGACUCCUGGUCACCUGGCCUUCCUCUGGGAAGAUUAAGCUUCAUCAACAAGGUGUGAACUCUUCUCACAGGCAGAAAAUCGGCUUCCUCGCUUCCCUUUUCCAAUUUCAGGGUAAGGAAUCGGCAAAAGUGUCACGCGGUCAGUUAAACAUACCUGUUAAACUACACAGACACGUGUAAGUUAAACAGACCUGGUGGGUGUGCAAGCAUGUGUGCACAUGCGUGUGCACACACACUCUCACACACCAGUUAACAUAACUGUUAAGCAAAGAGCAAAAGCUGGGCCAAUGUACAAGCAAGGUUCCAUGAUGGUUGCAUGUCUGCAUGUCUUCCUGUUGGGACUUAGAAGGGUGUGUGUGUGUGUGUGUGUGUGUGUGUGUGUGUGUGUGUGUGUGUGUCUGUGUGUGUGGUGAUGGUAGGGGGGCAGGGAUGAGGCUUCCUGCCCUUCAGGAGUUCGUCUCCAGCCUUUCUUGGGUACGGGCAUAGAUAGAAGAAAGCACUUAAGGACUGUCUCCCACGAGCCCUACCCGGACAAUGGUGUUCCAGGAAGACAGGCUUAGUUAGAUCUGGCUGAUGUUUCUAGAGCAAUGCUGUGCCCAUUUUAGGGAAGACAGCUCCUUGCUGGGCUCCCCUGACCCUGUGCUCCCAAGAGCCCCAAAAGGGUGACAGACCCAGACUCUGAAUCUGUUGAGUUGCAGGGAGUACAUGGACUCCCAGGCCUGGGGUCCCUUCCACUGUCUGAGAACUAGGACAUCUAAGAGUCUGUGGUGCCCUUGUCUCUCAGAGCCAAGGUUUUGCUUUCUGACCUAAAGGAACAAUCCGUCUCAUUGUCGUCUUCUUCCCAGGGUAAAGGUAAAUCCGGCCAAUGCGGCAAGUGUACAAAAGUGAACUCUACCCUGCUUGUACAAGCUAGGCCCUUGGCAGUGGAGGUGGGACACCAAGGAUGUGGCCACAUCAGGGGAGAGCUGGUCCUCAGUACCGGGAGAGUUCCAAGGGCAGGUGGUCAAGUUCACAGCUCCUUCCCAGAAAGGGUGAACUCGGGGCAGGAGGAAGUUGUGUUCACAGCCUGUCAGUGUGAGCUCUCAAAACAAGCAGGAGAUAAGCGCUUGUCCCCAAAGGCAAGUGUCAAUUCCCCACUUAGGUCUGAGGGAUGGACCCACAGGGAUCAAGCACUUGCCUCUUGGACAGAGCUGAGUGGCAGGCUCUGUGCUCACAGGAAGAGGCUCAGGAGAUGUUUGUGAGUCCUCUCCCAGAAUCUUCCCCCCACAUAGUCUAGGCAGGCAUUUCCCUCUUGUCUUGGAGAAGGAGGACGCUUGAGGUGGAAAGGUGAGAGUGUGAAGUGGCCUUGGGGAUGACGCCUCUGCGGAGAGGUUCAUCCAUGGUGCUUCUGUGGAGAGGUUCACGCAGAGCCUCACAGCCAGGUCUCUCUGCUCUUGGACAGUCCGUUCCCUCUGUGCUGUUCUCUUGGGACUUACUGCCUUUUUCUUCCUUCGGAACAGAACUGUCUUCCUGUAUGUUUCCCCUGCACUCCCCUGCUACUGACAUUAUGAUGUAUUUAAACUCAAGACUGUAAAGAAGGUUCCAACUCUGUCCCAUGGGAGGAACAAUGACUGAUGUCUAAUAGUUGUUCAGACGUUUAACAAAUUAGGUACAUGUAUAUAAACAAACGGAUUUUGUUACAGAAGUGAAACUUUGGAAUAUAUAUAUGUAUAUAUAUAUAUCACAUAUGUAUGUGCCUAUUUAUACACACAUUUGUAUCUCUCAUAUAGCUGUCAAUAAGUAUCAUGUGUCCAUCCGUAAAUUUAUCUACAUACCUAUCAUUGACCCAUUUAUCACCCAUUUUCUGUCAUCCAACGGUCAUCUGUCCAUGUAGCAUGUAUUUAUCAUCUGUGUAUCUAGCAUUUUUGUCUUUCAUAUCUAUUAUAUCCACUUUUCUUUUUUUAAAAAGAUUUAUUUAUUAUAAAUGUGCACUGUAGCUGUCUUCAGACACACCAGAAGAGGACAUCAGAUCCCAUUACAGAUGGUUGUGAGCCACCAUAUGGUUGCUGGGAAUUGAACUCAGGACCUCUGGAAGAGCAGUCAGUGCUUUUAACCACUGAGCCAUCUCUCCAGCCCCCAUCUAUCCAUUUUCUAUUGCCUGUCCCCUAUCACCCACUUACCUAUCAUGCAUGUAUGUAUGUAUGUAUGUAUGUAUGUAUGUAUGUAUGUACAACUUAUCAUCUAUCCAUUGAUUUGUCAUCUAUCAAUCAUCGGUCUACCUAGCAUUUAGUUAUCUGUCUGUCUGUCUAUUAUCUAUCAUCCAUCCAUCCAUUCCCUUAUUGGCGUCACCCUGUGAUCUCCGCAGGUUUUUGAGAAGUUCACAACUUCCUGGUCAUGAGCCUCGGCUCCCUGUGAGGCACUUCUGACUUAUCACUCACACUGUCCAGCAAGGCAGACUGACAACAGGGCUCUGCGGUUUAGCUUAUAUUUGGCCGGCCAUCUUUUUGUGUUUGAGGAUCCCUGCUACUUACAAUUCCCUCCGUGGUCCUUUCCCACGAGAGUAUGAGUAUCCCGCAGCCAUCUCUCCAUGCCUCUCUGCGGCCUUACUUCUUGUUCUGUUUUGUUUGAAUUUGGUUCUGUUUUGGUAACUUAGAUUUGGCAGCACACAUCAUUCUUCUAUUUGUAACAUCACGAAACACGACAAGGUGGCUGCCAUAGAAAUAGCCAGAACAAAGACUGGGCACCCCGCACCCUGCUUGCUCACUGGCCUUCCUUCCCAGUGGCCCACACUAAGCACUUUCAGCUGCUUGUUGUUGAAUCCACAUUACAGAGAGAGACCUUUGCGUUUUCUGUCCUGACCGUCACCAGUUUCACCCCACAGCUUCUCGCUUUCCCACUUUUGGCCUGCACCCUAUCCAGACUCCUACCCCCAGCUCCCCACUGCAGCCAGACAGCUCAGGAAGGGUUAAACUCGGGCCAGCGGCAGCUCCACACACUUAAUCCGGAUUCCCAGCACUGAUCUCCUGGCCUGUCAUUUGCAUUUCUCUCCUUUGUGCUGGGUUUUUCUUCCUGCCUUUCCUGGGGCCCGAGCGCCCGCAUUAGCAUAGCGCACAGGGCGUGCAGACUGCAGGGCCCCCCGCUGCGCGCCAGCCUGUGCAAUCGGCAGGCGCCAUCAAUUUUUCAGCACUUUCCUCAUUUCUCAUUACAGUCAGGCCCACGCGGCUUCCCACUCAACACAAUCCUCAGCCGUCCGUCCUGUUGGCGAGCCAGAGGCUGCCAUGUCCCCUCCUGACUCUGCCGAGCGUGCACCCGCUUGUUGAAGCGCCCACCAUAAUUAAUCACAGAAUUAAUCCCGGCCAAGCCUGUCUUCCUGAGUAACUAGGCCAGUACGCUUGGGUGCCUGGUCCCCACAGCAAUUUUAUCAACCAUGAGAACUGGGUAACACCCCUGCAGCCAGGAAUGCUAUGGGGACUCUGGGCUGAGCUUACCUUCCAUACUCGCACCCUUUCAGGGCCAUUCAUACCUUCGCCAUACCUGCAAGGAUACGGCCUCUUUGCAAGCUACCAUGCAUGCCACAGGCACUGAGAGACACAGAAUGGUACAGCUCACAGGAAAGGGUGUUUCUUUUUCACGUGGCCUGAUGGGGAAGUUAUCUUUAGGUACCAAAGUGGGUGGUUGUCAUAGCGAUUUGUGCAUUAUUAAGAGUAGUGUUCAUCCCCGAAGCUAAUCUGAUAAUGAAGCUGGCUCAUUAUCAGGAGGAGGCAAAGUUGACAUCUGCUUGCCUUUUUGCUGUGCAAUUGGGGUCCAGCUCCAAAUCCACGGUUGAGUCCCAGGGUCCAUCUUUGAUGUAGUAACCCCAUCUUCUCUGCUCUUUAGGGGACAGAAAAAGAGGACUGGGUUGGAGGGAGCACCUGACAUUUGUUUAGUGGAGGUCCCCACAGCUGGAAAACACUUCAGAGCACACAGUGUAGCAGAGAGUAGGGUGGAGAGACACAUCAAGAUUGCCACGCAAGGGCUGGAGAAACAGCACAGCAGUUAAGAGCACUGACUGCUCUUCCAGGUCCUGAGUUCAAUUCCCAGAAACCACAUGGUAGCUCCCAUCCAUCUGUAACGGGAUCCAGUGCCUUCUUUUGUGUGUCAGAAGACAGCUACAAUGUAAUCAUAUACAUUAAAUAAAUAAUAUUAAAAAAUGUAAUUUGUGAGAAAAAAGAUUGCCAUGCAAAAGAAGUCAGCUCCUUGGAAGGCAGGAAACUCCUCCCAUCAGGACUAGACAUAGGGAACCUAGCACGCGUGAGAGAGGCCAGCAAUUUCUCAAAGUGGGAGAGAAGGUGGGCACAGUGAACCUGACCCAUGAAAGUUUUUGACCUUCCAACUUUCCUUAGCUCUCUGGCACACUUCCAGUCUCUUACUAGACUAUGUCUAUCUCUGCCAAUUUUUUGUUGUUGGAUGUCAGAACCUGGAGCCCUCAGCAGGUGCCCUCUGCACUCUGCACCAAGCAGGUGACAUCAAGAGCCUUUGGAAAGCAAAACAAAUGGACCCCAGGUUUUUAUGUAGAGGCAGGUGGAUCUUGAUCUCUCUGCGACCCAGGCAGGUCUUGAACUCAGAACCACCUUGCCUUAGCUGUCUGGACCAUCUGGCCUGCCUAGAAAUGCAGGAUUUAGAGUGCUAGGACCAAUAGGCUGUUCCUUGACUAAGCAUGAGGUGUGUGGGUCUCUUCACAAGCUUUUCUGUUUAUUUGAUGUUGUUUUGUGUUUUCCUUUAACAAAAGCAACUCAGGGCACCGUGAAGACGGUUAACAAGUGAGGUGGUGCUUACCUCCAAUCUCAUUAGGAGCUUCCCCCCACCCCUAACCUCCAGCCCCCCACAGCCCUGUCACCAGCUCUGUAUCUUUCCAGAGAUGUUUCGCGCCUCUAUACUCAUGUGCAAAUAAAUCCCUUUAAAGUCCUCAAAUGUCAGCUUCCACUUCCCCUCUCUGUCCCCCACACUCUUCUAGCAGUACAUUGAAAUCUUUCUCAUCUUAUUAAAUGAUGGCCAAACAGUGGGCUGAGUAUGUGGUGUAGUGUGGUCUGGAUCUAUAUGUAUGUGUGUAUGUGUGUAUGUGUGUGUAAUUUGUGUGCAUGUGUGUAUGCGUAUGUGUGUAUGUGUAUGUAUAUGUAUGUGUGCCUAGAUGUGUGUGUAUAUGUGUAAUAUGUGUAUGUGAGUGUGUGUGUGUGUAUUUGUGUGCAUGUGUGUAUGCGUAUGUGUAUAUGUGUAUUUGUGUGCAUGUGUGUAUGCGUAUGUGUGUAUGUGUAUGUAUAUGUAUGUGUGCCUAGAUGUGUGUGUAUAUGUGUAAUAUGUGUAUGUGAGUGUGUGUGUCUGUAUUUGUGUGUAUGUGUGUAUGCGUAUGUGUGUAUGUGUAUUUGUGUGCAUGUGUGUAUGCGUAUGUGUGUAUGUAUAUGUAUAUGUAUGUGUGCCUAGAUGUGUGUGUAUAUGUGUAAUAUGUGUAUGUGAGUGUGUGUGUGUGUAUGCGUAUGUGUGUAUGUGUAUUUGUGUGCAUGUGUGUAUGCGUAUGUGUGUAUGUGUAUGUAUAUGUAUGUGUGCGUGUGUGCGUGUGUGUGUGUGUGUGUGUGUAGACAAGAGAACAGCGUCUGUAUUUGCUCUUCAGGAACCUUGCUUUUUUUUCCUGAGCAUUCAUUUGCCUCAGACUCAGUAAGCAGGCUAGACUGGCUGGCUGGCGGUGAGCCCCAGGUAUGUCGGUCUCUCCAGUGCUGGAUUACAAGCCCAUGUUACCACACCAUGUUUUAUAGGUGGGUUCUAGGAGUCUGUAUGAAUUUGCUUCGUGAUGCUGUGCUAACGCAUGGACCCAAACCAACUAUGAAGGGAGUGUUUCUUUGUCUUACAGGUAGAUCACAGUCCAACCUCAGAGGAAGGAAGGUAAGGCAGAAACUCAAGGUAGGAACUGAAGCACAGGGCAUAGAGGGCUGCUGCUAACUGGCUUACUGUCCGUGGCCUGCUCAGUUUGCUUUCUUCUUAUAUAACCCAGCACCACCUCCCCAGGGACAGCACUGCCUCCCAGUGGGCUAGGCCCUCCCAUAUCAAUCAUCAAUCAAGAUGUCCCAUAGAGCUGCCUUCAGAACAAUCUGAUAGAGGCCGUUCUGAAACUGCAGAUUCUUCUCCCCAGAUGACCCCGUUCUGUGUCAAGUUGACAAGAAAACUAACCAGAGCAGGACUGAACAGGUCCUCGUGAUUGCAAGUCAAGCAUCGGCUGAUGAACCUUCUCUUCAGCUCAUGUUGUAGGUUGUGAACAAGGCCCAGUGCACAGGGCAAAGCUUCCUUGUAAUGGGGCAAACGUUUGGCAAUUAUAGCUUCCCUCAUACCCUUCCUAUUUGUCUGAAACUUUAAACUUCCUUGUGUUUCCUCCUCCCUGAACUGCACAUUUCACAUCCUUUGAGUGGUAGCAUGCUGCAGCUCGAAUGCUAUGCUGUCUUGGAAUUCCCUCUGUCAAAACAAUUAAAUCAUUACUUUAAAAUUCAUCUUUGGGGUUGGGGAUUUAGCUUAGUGGUAGAGCACUUGCCUAGCAAGUGCAAGGCCCUGGGUUCGGUCCCCAGCUCCGAAAAAAAAAAAAAGAAAAGAAAAGAAAAGAAAAAAAAUUCAUCUUCAAGCAAGUUCUGAGGACAUGGGCAGAAUACAGUCACAUUCUCUGUCAGAAUGUAAUGGGAAUGGCCUCGGGCAGGCUAUCCAAUAGAGUCCUGCUCUUCUUCGAACCCUCAUGAGUUGGGCCUUCACUGUCCCAAUUUUCUUUUCUUCCAAAUUCCUACCACAAUGCCUCACUAAGCUCAGCUUAUAGGACUUAAAGGCUUUUAUAGUCCAAAAUUCCAAAUUCUCUUCCUUUAAACCAAAGGCCUAAGAACCACAUGGUCUAUCACGCCAAGGGCAGCACUCCUCAGUAUUAACUUUUUGUAUUAGUUACUUUCCUGAACAAAAGGUUUGAUUUGGCUCACAGCUAGAUUUGUUCCCCCAAGGCAGGGAAAAGCGUGGCAUCAGGGGUAUGAGGUAGCUGGUAACAUUGUAUCUACAGUGCAGAAGUGGAGAGAGAUGAAUGUGUGAGAGAGGCUACAUGUGUCACAGAGGCUGAGAUGGAGAAGCAGGGCUGCACAGAGCUGCUAGACACAGUGUGAGUCCCUCACGAACCCCUGAUGCUGAAUGGGGAGGGGGAGCUGUAGAGCUCUGCUUGUCCCUCAGGAUAUCAGUUUUACUUUGCUCUGUUCUUUCUUUGAUAAACUCCAUUUAUCCCUUUUGGGGUGGACUGUUUACUAUGUACCAUGUAUAUUGUAAAUAUGUAACUUUUUAUUCAAUAGAGGCUCACAGUUAGGAAAUUGACUGAGUCUCUAAGGAGACUUUGGAUUUUUGUUCAGUGUUAGGACUCUCUUAACAACCCCAAAACGAACACUGUGCUAUAUUUAUACAGUGAAAAUGAGACUUUAUGGAGCAAGGGUGGAAUGUUUUGACUUAAUGUAUUUGGGUGUGAAGUUGGCAAGGUGUGAAUUAGUCAACUUGAUUGGAUUCAGAAUCAACAUCAUGAUACAAUACCUGGUGUGGCUAUGGGAGGACUGCGGGGGAGGGGGUUGUUUCUAGAGAGUUUAAACUGAGGAAGGAAGACUACUCUGAAUGUGGGCAGCACCACCUUACAGUCUGUGGUUCUAGAUGGAGUAAGAAGGAGGAGGCAAAUGGUGGUGAAUAUUCACUUCUCUGUGCUGUUGGCUAUGGGUACAAAGUGACCUUCUGCCUCAUCCCCAGCCACCAUGCCUUUCCUGCCGUGAAAACUGUGAGCCCUACAUCCUCAAACUGUGAGUCAAAUUUGACCUUUCCUUCCUUAACUUGCCUGGUCAGUGAUUUUGUCACAGCAGCAAGAUGAUUAACAAACUAUACCCACUAGUCUUAUUCAUGUAGGCCUCCUGGUGCAAGUGGCUCCCUUCCCUGGACUUGACCUUGUCUAAAGCUAGCAUGGAUAAAGCUAGCAUGGAUAAAUUUCAAGCCUCAGUCUUACGGGGCUUCCAGUAUUUCUGCCUUUCCGGUUGUAUCUGGAGAUCUACUCUCCCCGCAAAUAGCUGCUUCCUCCUUAGCCUGGUCCCUGGACUGAAUGUGGAAUAGAUAUGAGGACAAAUCCAGUUGCACCAACACAAACCCAGGCUGGCCAGCUAUCUCCCAGCUGACCUGCAAAACAGUGGUGACAUAUCACUAGAAUCUGGGAUGUUUUGUCACAGAGCAUUGUUGCAGUAACAGUUACUGACACACGUGUUUGAAUAGACCAUACAGUGUGACCUUGCACACCAGUCAUGGCUGAGGACAGAAAGCGCCCUCGGAGACACCACUGUCUUUUUGACCUUAAGCAUGGGUUCUGCAUGAAGGAGGAAGCCUGUGACUCAAUUAAGAUGCAAUUAAGAUCCUCCUCUGUAGCAUCCUUUUAUCUGCUGUCCUCAUUAUUCUGGGUCCUUCUCCUCUUACCACAGGGACGGCGCUGCGCUUGCAUGCUGAUGAGUGUGUCUGUGACCCAACUUCUGAGUUGGAAAAGUCCGAGUAGUUAAUACGGACUUUAGCUCCACCAGCCAGCUCCUGAUAGACCCAGGAUUCUGGACACAAGAAAGCCCUCCUUGAGUUUUGAAAACUAUGAGAUAUCUCACUGUUUCAAGUGGAACGGCUUAAUUCUGGGAGUCCCUUGCUUCCCAGAGCAAUGAAGGUUGUUUUUGUUUGUUUGUUUGUUUGUUUGUUUGUUUGUUUGUUUUUAAUGAAUUUACUUUUGCUUUUGCAUUUCAACGGUUCAGUUUGGUCACAGAACAAUUCUCUCCCAUGGCAGUGAGAACUUUGAGGAGGAUGGGUCUUGAUUGAUGCACCUUUACACAAGGCUUUGCCCAGUUGAGGUAAUUUAUAUUCAGAGUUACUGUUGAAUGGUGUCUAUUCAUUCCUGUCAUUUUGGUGGCCUUGUGGAAUUUUCUUUUCUUUUCUUUUUUUUUUUUUUUUUUUUCCCGGAGCUGGGGACCGAACCCAGGGCCUUACGCUUCCUAGGCAAGUGCUCUACCACUGAGCUGAAUCCCCAACCCCAGUGGAAUUUUCUUAGACACAUUUUGCCUUAUUGUUUCUUUAUCCCCUUUGGCCUUUUGGGUGUGUUUAUCUGUCUCACCUGUCCUAAGUCUUCCUCAAGGUUUCUUCUGUAGAGCUGGCUUAGUGGUCGGAUGGAUCUUCCUUUAGUCAGCUUCAUUGUGGAAACUUUUUACUCCUCCUUCACUUAAUUAAAGAUAGUUGUUCUGGGUAUAAUAUUCUGGGCUGGUAUACUAUAUGGUCCAAGACUGUGGGUGCUAGAAAGCCCUCAUUUCUCUGUUGUGUUCUGACAUCCCCCACCCACCUCCCAUUCAAUCCAGCAUAGCUGUGGCCAUUUUUUUCCACACCUGCCAGCUACUUCAUACGGUUGCUGUAACAUGCCUGCCAGUCAUUAACCCAGGAAAAAUAACUUGACUCAGAGCAGGGUCAUGCUGACCACAUACCCAGUUACACCCUGUAUGAGGUUUGUUAAUCUUAAAGAAUUCCACAAAGUUUUAUGUAGGACCCAUCAAAUUCAAGGUCAAUAUGAACUCUUAUGUCUAAGAUGGCUUGAGUCAGAGCCGAUCACUGGGCAGCACUUCCUGUACCUGCCUAUGAGCUCAUUGUGGGUUUUAUUGAUUUUUUUUCCUUUAUAAGCUGACUGAAAAAGAUGUUUGUGGCUGUGGAUCAGUCCCAAAUUCUGAGCUAGGGUCCUUAUCCAUCAGUAUCAGGGUAUGCAUUCAACAAACUAUCUCUGUGACGGAGAUUGGAGUUCAUGUGGUUUGUGGAGCGACUCUCAGGCACCAACAUUCUCCUGAGCUUCUUUUGGGUUCUUAAAGGUCAACACUCAUUUGGUACUUGCACAUCCACAGUGAGUUUUAAAAACUGUGUGAAGAUGCCUUCUUGCUGUUUUCCAGUGACUUGGCUUACUCCCUGGAGUUCUUGUCUUCCCCAAAAUAUGGCUUUUUUUGUUUGGUUUUGUUUUUUGUUUUUGUUUGUUUGUUUGAUUGUUUAGGUUUUUCUCUGUCUAAUAAGCCCUUGCAGUCCUUGACCAGGCCGGACUCAAACUCAGAAAUUGGCCUGCCUCUGUCUCCUGAGUGCUGGGAUUAAAGACGUACCCCCAUCACAUCCGGCUGCUACGAUAUUUUAAAAAAGAAUUUAGUUUUGCUUUUGAACUUUAUCUGUACAGUUUGUUCACAGAACAACUCUCCCCCAUGACAGGGUGAGACAUUUGUGGAGGAUGGGCCUUGGUUGAGGCCAAGUUUUGAUUGUUAGAACUUGAAAUGCAUCUAAGUUCUUCUGGUUUUGAAUUUUCUAUCAAGCAAUCGGCUGUCAUGUUAACAGGCCUGCCUUUCUGUGACUUGGCCCUUCUCUCUUGCAGCUUUCAAUAUCUUUUCUUUAGGAAUGGGAUGAGAGGGGUUGGGGAUUUAACUCAGUGGUAGAGCACUUGCCUAGUAAGUGCAAGGCCCUGGGUUCAGUCCCCAACUCUGAAAAAAAAAGAAAAAAAAAAAGAAAAAAAAAAGAAAAAAGAAAAAAAAAAAAAAAGGAGUGGGAUGAGAACACCAAUCUCAGUCCGACAGAGUUAGUUUAUUUUGCAUCCACUGAUCGAUCAGGGCCUUAGACCACACCAGACUCAGGAGCUGAUUGUGAAGUCCAGCCACAAUCUUACAGAGCUUUAAGGCUUGAAACCCACAAACAUCUGUGCCAAGUUAUUUCACCAAUCAGGAUUUAGGGAUGGGGGUUUCCUUAGGAACAUGUCUUUGUUGUUCCCAAUGGUUGAGUUACUCAUCUGUGGCAGGGGACUUGCCUUGUCUAACAUUCACGUCUUAACUUGCCAACCAGUAUGUCAGUUACCCACAUACAUGUCUCUUUCAGCCAAGUAGGAUGUCAGUUCCCAGGGAACUUAAAACUUUAUUCAACCCCUACUCAAAAUGGAAGUUUUACUCUAAAUGGCUUCUAAUAUUGGUUUAGGUGUCUCUCUUAUAUUGGGGUCCAUCCCAGAGGCAGCUUAUGAAGACAAAGCCAUACAAGCUCAUACAUAGGGGCAGGAAGUGCUGCUGGGCGGUCGAUUCCGGUCCAAGCUUACUGUGGCUAACUACACAAGGCAGUUCUAACUGACUUCUCUUGUGAUUAGUUCCCCAAACGCCAAAGCACAGCACAUCACAGAGUAUGCAAUCAUCUCUGGCAUGAAAAGGUUUCACACUAACCGUAAUAUCAGUGUAAAACGGCUGGCUAGGCAGGUAGCAGCUACCCAGGGAUUUAGCUCAGUGGUAGAGCGCUUACCUAGGAAGCGCAAGGCCCUGGGUUCGGUCCCCAGCUCCGGAAAAAAAAGAACCAAAAAAAAAAAAAAAAAAAAAAAAAAAAAGCCUGAUCAUUGUCUUGGAGUGAAUGACACGGCUCCUCUGCCCUGUCUUCAGGCCCUGAGGUUCACAUUUCUUGUCUUCCGGCCCCGAGGUUUUCUUUUCUGACCCUCUCUCCCUGAGGCUUUUUUUAUCCACUGAGCUCUUCCUUUGUAGCUUCAGUUCAGUUUGGGUUCUUCUCUCCACCUUUUCCUGCCUCUUCACUGAACUCUGUGUUCACACCCUGAGUUGACCUCUUUAUUUAAUUUAUCGGUUUGUCUGUGUUUUCUUGAGCUCCAGUCAGGCUAUCCAGUCCUCCUUUUUCAGCUCACGCCAAGCGUUUCUGUGUAUUUUCUUUGAAUUCUUUGAACACUUCCGGCGUGUUGAUAAUUGUUCUUUUUUACGUUCUGCGUCUUGAAUUUCGUCGAAGUUGUUUUACUCAGCAGAAUGUCACCGUCUGUACUGCUGAUUGGAUCGGGGCCAGGUUGCCAGCCACGGGUAAUGAGGACACUUACAAAGCCCUAGGAAAGGUCUGCAUGGAAUGACCUGGGGCUUCACACCAAAUACGUGAGUGCUCCAUCUUGAAAAUAGACCAUCGGUCCCAGUCAAGCCUUGGGUGACCCAAGCCUUGGGUGACCGAGGUCUGAUGAGACAGACCCUCAGCACCCUGCGUGACCUGGGGCGGAGUUCUGCAGCGGGGUUGCUACUGAACGUUCACUCAAAGGUGCAGAGAGGUGAUAUACAGUGCUGUGCUACAGUGAGGGGUUUUCGGGGUAAACGUACGGAGCAGCGAUGCACCGUGGUAUAAGGCAAGAGACUGCACCUACUCCCACCAAAUUCAGGGGCUGGAGGUGUCUAUGCACCAACACCGCAUGUCACCGGAGAAAGGCUGUUCGCACGGCUUGUCCCCCAGCCCUUCCUUGUGAGUAUCAAGGGCUCCCGUGGUCUUUGUCCUUUAGACAAAGAGGGACAGGGGCCCUGGGUACCAAAAAGGUAAACUGAGGGCUGAAUGGAGGGAUGCCCACAACCGAACUCACUUCUACACCCCACACCUGACCCUUGCCCAGGCAAGCUGGGACUGCCUCUCUAUCUUCAGGGCUGUUCCUCUAGGACGCUGUCCCCGGAAGAGGAAGAGGUAGAGGAAGAGGAAGAGGACCUCUGGUUCAACAAUGGCGGCUGUCUGCGAAGCUCCCUUAGCCGGGUGUGGGUGCCUCAUGGAUGUCGGUAGUGAGAUCUGGAUGCUGUUCAUAAACUCGUGACCGAGUUUACUGGUUAGACCUCCUUACAGGGAGGUCUCAAGGUCCCUGUGGUAACUCCCUGAAGGAUGCUGAUGUCCUCCACCUCCAUUCAGCCUUGUGAAUUCUUCCCCACAACCCCCUUUGCCUGAUGAGCAGCCCAGCUGGGUGAAAGUUCAGGAAAGGCAGUUCAAGUGUGACAGCUUCUGGACAUGUCCUCUUGACCUUCUUGGGGCUCCUGUCACUGGUUUCCCUAUCCAGUGGUAGCACAGGCUAUGCUGUGCUGGUUUCUUUAUUCAGUGGUAGCACAGGCUAUGCUGUGUUUUCUGGCAGGUGCUCCUUUGCUAAGCACAGCCCCUCCUUGGAAGGGCACAUAGCAUCUCUGGGGUGGGGGAAGCAUCCGGGUUAUAGUCUUAUGGGAAUCCCAUAGUGUCUCACUGUGUAGUCCAGGCUGGUCUUGAACUUUUUGUCCUCUUGCCUCAGCCUUUCAGGCACUGGGAGCAGAGGCAGGCAACACCAUGACUUGGUUGGAAUCUCAGAUCUUAACCACUGACUCCUGGGCCCUUCUCGCUUUGGUCUGAGAUCACCAGCUGACUGCUGAUAAGGGAGGCUGAGGGGGAGAAGGUGCGGACGGACUGCUCACCGAUGUCCUCAGUGGUCCCGUUUGCUAAGGGUAUGUGCCGAGUCCAUGACCACACAGAUGGAGUAAAACGCCCUUUAAGGGCCACAUAACGCACGGACAGCAACGGAGAAAAUGGGAUGUUACAAAUCCCAGUUGGGCCUUUCCUGGACCUAUGUUAGAAAAAGCCAGCCAACAAAAGCCCUUCCAUCUAUAAAGAUCUGAGGUCAGCUCUCCAUGCCCCUGGCAGCUGCUCCGAGAAACCCCUCCAGCCUCCCCACUGAGCACCUAGACUCUCCCACGGAGCACCUGGCUGCCAUACCUUUCUUCAUUCUUCUGACCUGUUGUCUUCUAGGAAGGCCAAGAGAAAAGGCAGUUGUGGGGCUGGCUGCCCAGGCUCAAAGCUUCUGGCUCUGAAUAAGUGAUUUAACUCUAUCUUGUAGAUGCGGGGAACACAGGCAUUCUUGGGGCUGUGACUCAGCAAACUUGAAUGUUUCUUAGAAAUGAAGACCAGAAGGUAAGUUUUUAGUUACUUUGUUUUAUGGGGGAGGAGUGUGAGGGAGAGACCAGCCUGCAUGUUUCUUAGAAGACCAGAAGGUAAGUUUUUGGUUACUUUGUUCUAUUGGGGGAGGAGCAUGAGAGAGAGACAGGCCCUGUCUAGGCAGAUGCGAAAUCUACCAAGGUUUAAGAGGUGACACAGCUUUGUCCAGAUGCUCUUGGUUCUGGACAGUCAAUGCCAGUUUUCAGUGCCAGGUCUCCUGGGCCAGGGUGGGUUUUAGAGCCUUCCAGAGGCCCACUUAUCAAGCAACCAAGCUCUUUCCCGGCAGCCCUAACAUGGAGUUAACCCUCUAAGAGACCCAGGGCAGCCUCUAUGAGCCAGCCAGAAUCUGCUCCACACCCCCCGAACUUUAUUACCCCCUCUCCCCAAAUUUAUAGCUGUGUGUCUGGCCCCAGCACCCACAAGCAGCUUAGAAAUUCCUUCUCAUCAGCUGAGAGGAUCUCCCAGGUUCCUUCCUCCGGCAGGUGGCUGAGAGGCAACAUCAUUUAUUUGCCAUUUAAAAUGCAGACAUGUCAUUAAAGAAUGUGUUCCGAUGGCUGCGAAGUCCAUCAGCAAUGAACGGGCACUGAUAACAAAGGUCUCAGGGCAGAAGACAGCUGAGGGUCUCCGUGAGAAAGCGAGCCAUCACUCAUUCCUCUUUGUGAGUUUAAGGUCCAUGCCUGUUUGCAUUGACUUACAUUUUUUGCUCAAUGCUUAUUUUCUGAUGGUCCUGCCCAGUUCUUCAAUGAUAAAGAUGUGCUUCAAGGGGGAGCCCUUCUAUGGUGGUUUGAAGAGGAGUGCUCCCAUAGAUUUGUGUGUUUGAAUGCUUGGCCCACACUCUUAAGAGGCGUGGCCUUGUUGGAGGAAGUGUGUCACUACAGGGGUGGGCUUUGAGGUUUCCUAUGACCAAGCCCAGUGUGGUACACAGUAUCCUUCUGCUGAACAAGAUGUAGAACUCUCAGCUCCUUCCCUAGCACCAUGUCUGCUUUUGUGCCACUAUGUUUUCCACCAUGACAAUAAUGAACUAAACCUCUGAACUGUAAGCCAGCCCCAGUGAAAUGUUUUCCUUUAUAAGAGUUGCCACGGUCAUGGUAUCUGCUCAAAGCAAUAGAAACCCUAACUAAGAUACCUUUUAAGUUUGGUAUCCCCUCACAGCAAUAGAAACACUAAGAUGCCUUCUAAGCCCAUUGUGGUGGUUGAAUAAAAAUGGCCCCCACAGGCUCCUAGGGAGUGGCACUAUUAGGAGGUGUGGCCUUGUUAGAAGUAUCAAUGGGGGCUGGCUUUGAGAUCUUAGAUGCUCAAGCCAUGCCCAAUGUGCCAUUCUCUUCCUGCUGCCUCUGAUCCAGAUGUGAGCUCUCAGCUCCUUCUCCAGAACCACGUCUUCCUGCAUGCUGACAUGUUUCCUAUCUUGAUGACAAUGGACUGAGCCUCUGAACUGCAAGCCAGCCUCAAUGAAAUGAUUUCCUUUAUCAGAGUUGCUGUGGUCAUGGUGUCUGUUCACAGCGAUAGAAACCCUAAGCCGUGUAUAUGUCUUACUAUUUGGGACGAAGGAAAAGGUGACCAGAGAGGCUGCAGUGUGUCUGUGACUGCCAUUGAUCAUCAGCUCGGUCUCCAUGCAACCAUCAAUAGCUGUCUGCAGCACACCGGAGGGGCUGUGAACCUGGUAGCUUAGCCCAUGAGGUACCUCAGAAGUCACAAUCUGGUGCUGAGGGCUUGGAGGAUUCCUAAAGAGCUGCUGGUCCUCAGUCUAUGUCAGAAGGCAGAGGGAACUGUAGUUGGAUGUCCCUGAAGGAUGGCAGGAGUGUCCACAGUGUCAGAAUGGAUGCACAUGCCAGCAAGGAGCGAAAGCAGGCAGGCAAAGGCACCACCAUCUUUCCCAACACUGCUUUAUAACUGGUCACUACAGGAAGGUGUCACGGUGCCACUCACUCUGGAGGAGGGUCUUCUCCUCACAGACCCAUGCCCAGGCAUGUCUCUUAGUUGAUUCCAGAUCCAAUCAAGUUUACAAGUCAAGGUUGGCCAUCAGAGGGUGUCGCCUCCCCUACAGUAGGGCACAUUGUCCAUAGGGAUUGCUCAAACCUGUUGGCUUAAGGCAGGAGUCACAGGGCACAAGCUCCAGCCUGGGAGGGUGAUGCCUUCUUCCUGCUGGAGUUGCUUGUCCCCCUGCAGAGCAGAUUCUGGUGCUGUGGAUGAUCUCUCCCUCCACUUGGGCAUAAUUACAAGACAGUACCAGGCUAGAAGAUGACCACCUUUUCGUGGUUCCCUUAACAUCUCAGUGUCUACUGGUGUCAGGUUCUCUCCUCCAAGGGGCGGAUGCGGAAGUGGGGGUGGAAUUGUGUUCAAUGGCAUGGAGAAGGAGAAAACAUCUGAGAAUACACUCGAAUAGGCUCGAGGAGAGCGCAUGGAUCCCGCGGCUCCUUUGGUGUGCGUGCGUGCGUGCGUGCGUGCGUGCGUGCGUGCGUGCGUGGAGACCUCUGGGGUGAGGGCUGGGGAAACUGAAGAAGAGAGGAAGGUGGGGAGGAGAGGGAGGCUUCUGAAGCUGGUGGUUAGAGAGUCCUUGUGGCCAGCUGAGGGGAUGUAAAAUGUGCAGAGAUGCAACAGUAGGGAGCAGGACAAAUUAGCAAGACCCGUGCUGCUCAGCCCCUAAGCACCCCAUUUCUGGGAGAGAGAGAACUCCCAUCUCCCCCAUACCCAUCCCAUCUCCUCACCCUGCUGCUUCCCUGGUCCCUCUCCAGGUCGGAAAGCCCUGCUGGGAGGGCGUGGCUGUGAGGAUGCUUCCAAGACUGCCUCUCUGCUCAGAGGGCAGGAGAGGUCCUAAUGACAUCAGGGCGGAAAUAGGUUAGACUGAGAGAAGAACCAAGCAGGACUCCUGUAGGAGCCGAAAUUGGUUGCCAAGGCAACGCACUGACUCUUUCCCUGGAGGAAUUUUAAAAUAGGUCACUUUUUCUUUUUCUGGGAGGUUGAGAGUCCUACCCGUGAUGAGGGAGCCCGCACAGGACUCAGCAAGGGAGGUCAGACAGAGGCAAGUUAUGGAAGUCACAGAUGGCCAUCAGUAAAGCGACGCUGACUUUCCCUGGCAGUGUCACUGGCACAGCCGGGAAGCACAUGGGGUGAUGGACUGAGCUCUGCUGUGGGAGCCUUUGGGUGUGGUUUUUUUCUAAAGGAUUGUAAAUUACAUUUCUGUUUAUUUAGUGUGUGGUCUCGUCCCACAGAGUAAGUGUAGAGGUCAGAGGACAUCUUGUAGAAGCUGGUUUUUCUUCCACCGUCUGGGACUUGGGAUGUCAGGAUGGCCUUUACCCACUGACCCUGGGGAUGUGGUUCCUCCCCUGUCUUACCACCUGGGGACCCAUCCUCCUUCCCAGCAAGUGUGGGGGUGGGGCUCAGAAUGGCUUCCAAAGUUGCCUGAGAGGCACUUCCUAAGCAUCCUUUCCGUCUGGGCAUUCUUUUUCUGUACGGUUGAAUGUUCUCACAAUUUCUACACAAACACCCUCCCACUAAAUGACACCCAGCUGCAAGCUCCUCGGGACUCUGGUUCCAGCCUUGACGCCCUGAUCUGCUGCUUAUGAUGAGGCUCCUGAGAGUUGUGUAGUCUUGGUUUUUAACCUAUACAACCUGGGGAGCAAGAACUGGGUCAUGGCUCCAGUGGUGAAGUUCUUGCCGGACAAGCAUGAGGUUUUGGGUUCAAGUCCCAGAACCUUCAUAGAAAGCCAGGCAUAGAGACACACGGUGUAAGCCCAGCUUUGAGCAGGCAGGACCAGGCAGUUCUGUGGUGCUUGGUGGCGAGUCAGGCUAGCGAAUGAGUGAGUCCCAGGCCAGGGAGAGGCCCUGUCUCCAAUAAUAAAAAGGAUGAACAGUUUCUGAGGUUGACUUUUGGUUGUCACACGUGUGUGCACAUACAUGUCCACAAUAAGCUGCACACACACGCAUGUGUAUCUUGCUCCAUGUGCACCGCCCCCCCCCAUGAACAUACAUGUAGUGUUUUGGAUGAAAAUGGUCCCCAUAGGUUAACAGAGUAGCACUAUCAGGAGAUGUGGCCUUGUUGGAGUAGGUGUGGCUUUGUGAAGGAAAUGCAUCACUUUGGGGUGGGCUUGAGGUUUCGGUAGCUCAAGCCAGGCCCAGUGUUGCUAUCUCUUCUUGCUGCCUGUGGAACACUCAGCUACCUCUCCAGCACCAUGCCUGACUGCUCACUGCCAUGCUUCCCGCCAUGAUGAUAAUGGACUGAACCUUUGAACCUGUAAGCCAGCUCCCAUAAAAUGUUUUUCUAUAUAAGAGUUGCUGUGGUCCUGGUGUUUCUUCACUGUACUAGAAACCUUCACUAAGACCACACACACACACACACACACACACACACACACACACAGAGACAGAGAGACAGAGAGAGACAGAUAGACAGAGACAGAGUGACAGAAAGAGACAGAGACAGAGAGGGACAGAGACAGAGAAACAGAGAGACACAGAGAGAGACAGAGACAGAGUGUCAGAGAGACAGAGACAGAGAGAAAGAGACCCCAGGGGCUUGCCACCCCUGGAAGUGAAGCAGAGAAGCUGCUGAGGUACAUACAUGCUGUACAUGCUGUCCAGCCUUGUGGCCCACACAGAAAUGUCUGAUCUGGGUGUCAGACACUUUUGAGGAUCUGGUCCUGUGGCAGGCACCUCUUUAGCAGAUAUCAUUCCAAAGUUUCACCUCAUGCAAAUGCCCUCUUCUUCUCUUGCAACCGUCUCCUUCUGCCUCCAAACUGUACUCUCUGCUUGUGUCCUGUGGUUAGCAUCUGUCUCUAUGGCAAGAGCGAGGGUCAGGUAUGAGGAGAUGGCUCAGCCCAGGAAGCGCUGUAUCCCCAGGACCAUGCCAAUAGCAGAUGGACGUGGUAACGCAUGUCCACAAUGAUGAGUCAGGCGAGGCCCCUGCCUCACAAUAUAGGGUGGAGGUUAAUCAGGGAAAACACCAGCACCAAUCUAUGUUCUCCACACACAUCUGCACAUGUGCGCCCAUCCACGUGUGAGCACGAACACACACAGAAACACAUAAAAGAGGUCAAAGGUCCUACCUGCCACAUUCCCAUGGUUUCCUAGCGCCUGGCACUCAGUGUGGCUUCAGUCCAUGUUGAAUGAACAGCGAGCGAGCGUGGAGAGGGUUGGUAGCUGCACACAAUAUGGCUUCAGUCGAUGUUUGUUGAAUGAGCAGUGAGCGAGCACGGAACGGGGUAGUUGCACAUCUUUGUUUAAUAAGACAUUGGGGAAAGGAAGCUAUUGCUGUCCAAUAAAUUUAAUUUUCCUGGGAGGAAAGAGUUCUUUGCAAGCAGGAGCCCAUUGAUGCUUAUCAAUAAUUGAGCAGGCCUGAGUGCUGGAAUGUGUAGUUUCUGCAGCCAGUUUCUGGCUGGGGUUCACUUCAGUUCUAUCCACACCUGCUGCUUCCUCCCACUGAGUCCCACAGCACAGGCUCCAACAACACAUCUGUGUGGCUUGAGGUUCCUGGCAGGAUUCAGUCCCAGUCUACCGCUGGGCCAGGAAGAUGGAUCAGUCGGUAGAGUGUUUGCCUUGCAAGCCUGAGGAUAUGAGUUGGGUGCCCAGAACCUGUGUAAAACCAAAUGCAGGGUCAAGCCUGAUUACCUGGGUUCAAUUCCUGGGACCCACAUGAGGAAAGAAGAGAACUGGCUGCCAUAAGUUGUCCUCUGAUCCCCAAAUGCACAUGGUGACACAUACAUACAGAGGCACACAUGCACACACGCUCACACACACGUUUGUGCACCCACACACACACACACACACACACACACACACAUUAAACAAAUAAAAGUGUAAUGAAAUUAAAUCAGCAGUGCCCCUAAGCUCAUGCGUGCUUAUAAUUCCUGGAGUCAGAAGGAUCCCAGAGUUUGAUUGACAGCUAGUCAAGCUUAAUUAGCAAGUCCCAGGUCCUGGUGAGUGACAAAAAAAGUGGAUAGUCUCUAUAGAAUAACAGCUGAGGCUGACUUCUGUCCUCUGACCUCUGACCCUCUCCCCCUCCCCACCCUCUCUCUCAUACACACACCUAUUCCUACCUGUCAUCCUCAUCCUCAGGUCUGUAUAGUGUGCGUCUUCCCGUACAGCUGUGAGCAUGCUUGCCUCUUACGUAAUCUGCUUGUUCCCUCUGGGGACCUGGGUACAGUGAAAGCCACAUCCUACCUCUGUCUAUGCACGCGUAUGCACACAGGCAGGCAUGCAUGUGUAUUAAUAUGGAUGAAGCCCACAUACAGCAUCGAGCAGACAGGCUUAGGAAGAGGAGACGGGCGCCGAUGCAAGAGUCAGUGAGUCCAGAAGCAAACACACAGCUGACCACCGCAAGCCCCUCUUCCAUCAAGUGGCUGGAGCCAAAGUUCUCAUGCUGUGAGUUGUGAUUCCUCGUGGGGUCUUUAACGGCAAUGGAGAGUCAUAGAAUACUUGCCAACAGUAAAAGAUAUUGAAGAUGCAGUAUCUAAAAAUUAAAAAUCAAGUGUGUAAAGAAUCUGGGGUGGUUCUCCGGUCUCUUACCCAUGUGGCCUCACAAAACUUCACUGCAGCAUUGGUUGUGAGCACACGGCAUCCACAUUCUUCAGUGCAUAAGCCAACAUACCAGCGAACAUGAAAAGCACUGCCCCAAACACUUCUGCUCAGAUUUCAGACUAUCACACACACACACAUACACACAUAUAUGUACACACAUGUGCAUACAUACAUGCACACACAUCUAUGUACACACAUGCACACAUGUACACACACGCACAUGUAUACAUAUACAUGCAUGCACAUAUACACAUACACACAUAUAUACACACAUAUACAUAUACAUAUACACACAAAUAUAUACAUAUGCAUACACACAUGUAUAGACAUAUGUGCACACACAUGUCUCUAUAUUCCUGUUUUUAUAAAAAUCUAAUGGGCUAACUAGAGGAAGCAAAGGCGUUUGAUGUCUUCCUCCCACAAGCCAGCUAUGCAGGUAUCAACUUAGCUCAUCUUUGGAUUGUAUUGUGUUAGACAAAUAAUUAAACCUGCAAGCUUCAGAGGACUCAGCUCUCCUAGUUCUGCCUCUGUCUUGCCAUAGGCCAGCUGGGAUUACCGAUGCAGGCUUUUCUCAUGGAUCCUGGGGAUCCAAACCCAAGUCCUUAUACUUGUGUGGCAAGCCCUUCACCCACUGAGUCAUCUUCUAGCCCUGAUAAUGUGGUCUGUAAUAAAACUCACAGUAGCGUCACGCCACAGCAGCUGUUGGACUCAUGGGUGUGCAGCCAGAAUCUGAUGCCCUUCUCAAUCAAGUUUUCCCAGUCACCUCAACACGAGGCAUGGGAACAUGUCGGCCCUCAGCUCUCAUCCAUCCUUACUGCCAUAGCUCUCUCCUGCCCAGCCCAAAUGGGACCUCUUUCUUGACUCAGUUCCUGAAGCCUGUGGUCUGCCACCUCUGUGUUAUUUUCUCUUGAGACUCUCUUUCCCGAAGGACACUAUUGCCCCUCACCCAAGACACAGACUGACUCCUAGUUAGGAGAAGUCACAUGACCUAGGCAUGAACUUCCUUUUAUCUUAGUACUUGCUGGAAAGGUAGAGAACAGGAAACUGCCCAGAUUAAGGAAAAGGUGUUUUAUUUUAAGAAGUCUGGGGGUGGGGUUGGAGAGAGAUUCAGCAGGUAAGAGCACAGACACCUCUUGUGGAAACCUGAGCUUGGUUCCUGGCUCUUGCCAGAGAGCUUGAAAUCAUCAAAACUCUAGCUUUAGGGAAGUUUCUCUUCUGGUCUCCAUGGACACUGCACUUGUGAAUAUAGCUGCACACAGACACACAUGCAUGCAUACAGCUGCACACAGACACACAUGCAUGCACACAGCUGCACACAGACACACAUGCAUGCACACAGCUGCACACAGACACACAUGCAUGCACACAGCUGCACACAGACAACACAUGUGUGCACAUUUGGACCUUGCGGUUCUUGCUUUCCUAUGUGAUCUUGGCCAUCUGCUCACUCAGGCUCACAGUCAGCCAUCAUGGCCGCUCUUGAAGGGGUUCUUUCCGAUAUCAGGUGCUGUGAUUCAGCAACCUCCAGGAUGACAACCCUGCAGAACGGCCUAAGCAGCUGUGCCUGCUCCAGUCACCUGUGACUGAAGGUAAAACAUUAUCCUGUGUGCUGAGAACAUGAGUGGGUCGAUUCCCCCAGGCUGGAGUGUGAAAGAAAAACCAUAGCGUGUACCGAGAACUUCUGCAAAGCCAAGGCACAUCCACUCUAUGGUUAAAGGGCAUUAAUGGGUGGGAUGAGAGACAUCAGCGUUCAGAUCCCUGUGGUUCCACAGGAGGCAGCUUUGCUUUCCAUGUUUGUUGAUGCCUUUUAUUGGCAAGGCAUUUAUUUAUCCUGUGUUGGAGACACCCAACAACUUGAUGCGAUCUCAUUUGGAUUUUAAUUAGAAUAUUAAUCAGCUACAUGCUACACCGUUUUGGCCAAAAAAAAAAAAAAAAAAACCCUAGCAAGGCAGUGUACUAAAAUCACAAGGAACAGAGCCAAUUUAAUUUGUUUUAGAUAUUUUGCCCCAGGUUAACAUUAGGAACUUAUUACGGCAUGUCCUGUGGAGAAAUUAUUAUUAUAAAUGUGCAUAUUGUGCAAAUUAAAAUCAUAUUUCAUUCACGGGAAAGCUUCCCUGACUGCAUCAGUUUUAGUGACCGUGUCUCUGGUCGCAAGGGAUGUGAGUAGCCUUAGCACACCUCAGAACAGAUCCAGCAAGGCCACUGCUUCUAGGACACCAAGGUGUGCGGGCUGUGUGUGUGUGUGUGUGUGUGUGUGUGUGUGUGUGUACUUAUAUGUGCAUGUGUGUGCAUGUGUGCAUGCAUGCGUGUGCAUGUGUGUGCAUAUGUGUGUGUGUGUGUGCGUGUGUGUGCGUGUGUGUGUCUUUAAUGAUUGACUGGCUUGAGGACACAGAAGACAACUGGGUGAUGGUUGUGUUUGUGGCCUCACUCAAAGCGCUUCAGGAAUGUAUUAACUAAUACCAGAAGGAGAAGGAUGCUAAGCUACACUUGGUGGGAGUUCCUAGUUUUGGCUAGCCAUCUGGAAAGGCUGCCUGGAGGGCAGGACAUGUGAGCCAGGGUCUGACGAUGGAGCAGGAGGAGUUCAAUGAGGCAGGACAAUAUGAGGAAAGACUGUGUGGGGCAUGGCAGGGGUUGGGGGUGUUUCAGCAUGGCUGCAUCAUACAGGGUGGGCUGGGAGUUGGCAGGAGUAGACCAGGAGUGCUGGGGUGGAGCCUUGUGUUGGAGAAUUUAGCACUGAACUAAGAAACUGAUCUAACCCCAUGGUAACAAAUGUGAACCUCAUAACAAUGAGCAGUAGGGCUCUGCUGGAGCAGAGAAUGAUGGGAUAUUUUACAUUUUAGCAAGAAUCAGCUGGCUAAGAACAUGGGUUAGAAGGAAGCAGAGAUAUUAGUCAGCCAGAACAUAGGCAAGCGAAGAUGAUGCCAACACAAGAUGGAGGAGUCCCAAAGCCAGCAAGGUCCUUGAGCGGGGCUUCUGUUGACAAUUCCAGGAGAACAUGGCCGCCGGUCCCCAAGGCUGUUGAUGCAGACCUCUGCCCUCUGCCCUCUGCCCUCUGCCCUCUGCCCUCUGCCCUCCUCCCUAGGGCCUAACAGCCACAGGUUUUAGGAACUUGGUACUCCCAUUCUCGCCUUUUGUUUUUGAAUCAGAAACUAUCUUUAACUUUAAAAGAAUUAUAUGUUGUAUCAGCUGGUACUCUGCAGAGUGCUGGUUCUAUUUUAUUUUAAAAACUUUAUCUUUAAUUUCCAUGUACCUCUAUCUGUGUGCAUGCAUUUAUACAUGAAUGCAGCGCCUGCCUGCAGAGGCUAGAAGGACGUGGAGAUGCCCUGGAAAUGGCAUUACAGGUGGUUGUGCGCUGCCUGAGGGUAAUGGGGAUUGCACUCUGUCCCUUCCAAGAGCAGUGUAUGGCUUAACGGAGCCAUCUCUCUAGCAUUUACCGAUCCGUGAGAAGGGUUCAAGGGCAAUUCAACGGAGAAGGGGUCAGAUCAUGUUUUCAGCAAAUGGUUUUAGAAGAAUUAGUUAACUAUAAGCACUCAGUAACAGCACCAAACCGAACCAAAGCAGAACAAAGCAGAAAUCUUAGCUUUACCUUAUAUAUAGAGAACAGAAUAGCUAGUCCCUUGUCCCUUCAGAGAGCUUAGUGCAUAAAAUCACCACCACACCUAAUCAGCCGAGUUAGAUUCCAGAACCUCCAUGGUGGUAGGAGAGAACCUCGUCCUGAAUUUUCCCUGUGUCUUCCAAGUUCCAAGGCAUGUAUGCUCAUGUACACACACACAUACACAUGCACACAGACACAAAGAGACACACAGACACACACAGAGAAAGACACACACAGACACAGACAAACACACAGACUCAUACACACACACACUCAGAGAGAGAGAGAGAGAGAGAGAGAGAGAGAGAGAGAAAGGAGUAAUAAGUAAAAUGUAAUACAAAUUUUUAAAAUGAUCCUUGCCUGUCAGUUGGGACCUAUGAUCUUGUCCAAAGUGAUGAAAUAUACAGCAUGCUCAUAAAGAAAAAAGGGAAAACCCAAUAAAAAGGACAGCAUCAAAAUGUAAACUGCUACUCUGUGAAAGACCGUGUUAAAAGGACAGAAGACAGCUGUACACUUAAGGAAAAUACUUUCAGGACACAUAUGUGACAAGAGACUAAUACCAAAACCUGUAAGAACCAACAGUGAAUAGUGCAGGCAAAACACCCAUGUGCAUAAAACAAAAUAAACACAUAAUUGAAUGAGAAGAAGUAACCAGGACGGUUUGCGAUGAACGGCUGACAAACCUGGAGUGUGUAUAAACCUCAGAACGUAACUCAUCAAUACAGAGAGACAGAGAAGCACCAGGCAUGGUGGUACACACCUGCCAUCUCAGCACUUGGGAGGUGGAGGCAGAGGGAUCAAUUCCUCAAGGUCACCCUCAGCUACAGAGCAAGCGUGAGGCUAGCUAGCGCUCCUCUCAUGAGACCCUAUUUCUAAAUCAAAGCAACCCCCACUGCUCCCCACGUAAGAUUAAUUAAUUACCUCCACUCACUACUUCCAUUGAUUUCAAGGACAUUAGUGGACCAAAAGGCCAUAUAGUAAUUUCAUUUAUGUGAUGUGCUUGACCAAAUUACAGGGGUGGAGAAGGGAUCAGUGGUGGCCCAGCCUUGGGAUGGUGAGCUGGAGGGUGGGGGGAUUUUGAGGGAUUAUCAAGAGGGAGGGUCUCUGCGGAGAGGGGACAAUGCUAUGCUGACUGUGGUGGUAGGUGCAAAAAUUCAUAACUUUGACUAAAUGACACAGACAUGUCGUCCACACUGUGUGCCAGCGUCCUGGCUUUGACAUUACCAGAGUGACACAGGGAGUAACCGUUAGGGGAAAAUGGCUGAAAGUUUUAUGGGAGCUCACUGUAUGUUCUUUGUGAGUUUUCUCUCUCUCUUUUUUUUUUUUUUUUUUUUUGAGCUGGGGACCGAACCCAGGGCCUUGUGCUUGCUAGGCAAGCACUGUACCACUGAGCUAAAUCCCCAACCCUCUUUGUGAGUUUUGAUGGAUAUUUUUUGAAUAAAAGCUAGAAAAAUAUGAACAAGGGUAAAAUAAGUUUUUUGUAAGUUCACAGUGAUGCUGUUGAUUUAAAUUUAGGAUUGCAGAUUAAAGUUCACAGUUUAUAUAUACUUUACUCCCCAUACACUGAACACUGAGAUUUUCAAUGACCUCACCAUAAGUCCUCCCCCUCUUCUUCCUCCACCUCCUUCUCCACAUCCAUCCCCUCCUCCUCCACUUUCCCCUCCUCCCCCCAUCCUCCUCUUUCUCCUUCUUUUUGAGACAGAGUCUCAUGUAUCUCUGACUGCCUGAAACUCACUGUGUAGCUGAGGAUGACCUUGAACUCCUGAUUUGCUUGCCUCCACCUCCUGAGUGCUGUACUCCCUGUGGCCAGUUUUAUGCAGAGUUGGGAGUAAAACCUGGCUUUGUGCAUGCUAGGCAAUUCUACCCCGCUGAGUCCCAGUCAUGACCCUGGACCUGUCACACUUUUUUUCAAUCCAUCUUCCCUAGGAAGUGAAUGUUACUUAGUUAAUCUAACAGAUUUAGGAAGGUUAAGCCCCUACCCCCACAUACUAUGAUUAAUAAGUGCAGAGAUAGAUUUAAGAUUUAAAUGUUGGUCUGUAGAAUACUCUGGAAGGUGAUAGAAUAAAGCUAUUUUUCCUUUCAAAAAAAAUGAGUACAAGUUAACAGAGAGUCCAAGACGGAGAAAACUGGGAAACAUCUGGAGCCCUGAAACACAAGAUGGAGGGAGUAGGCAGAAGGCGCUUGGGGCUCUGCUGAGACAAUGGAGCUUGAAACCAAGGAGUGGUGAGGGGUGUGUGUGUGUGUGUUUAUGUACAUGUGUGUGUGUAUGUGUGUGUUCAUGUAUAUAUGCAAUGCACAUGUAUUUAUGCACGUGUGUUUUGUACACGUGUGAACGUGUGUGUUUAUGUACACAUGUGUACAUGUUGUUUAUGUUUGUGCAUGUGUACUUAUAUCUGUUCACAUAUGUGUGUAUGUGUUUAUGCAUAUGUGUUUAUGUAUUUGUGCUUAUAUCUAUAUAAUGUAUUUAUGUGUGCUUAUUGUAUGUAUUGUGCAUGUGUGUCUAUGUCUCUGUGUAUACUUGUGUGUGUGCAAGUCUGUGUAUGUAUGUAUGCAUAUAUGUGUAUGCUUGUGUGUGUGCACGUGUGUGUGUGCAUGUGCAUGUGCAUGUGCAUGUGCGUGUGCAGGUUUUGCUGGCCUCAUGUCUGUCAUGCAUGAAAGGCUCAGCUCUGUGAACCCAGCAGCUCCGGGGGCUGGCACGGUGGAAUGCUGGAGAAAGUCAGAUAAAUGGUACAAUGUGGUCAUGGAUAAGAGAAGGCUGGUCCAAGCUGGCUGAGGCUGCGCGACAAGUGGGGUCAUUCUCCUUUCUCUUUGGUUUGUUUGAAAAUUUCAGAAACGACAAAAUAAAACUGUACAAACUUUGCUAUUAGUUAUGGAAGCAUGAUUUUACACUUGGCUCUUUUUUCUUUCUCUGAUACCAAGAAUUACAACUAGGACCUCGCUCCUGUUCAUCACAUGCUAUACCAUUGAACUUCAUCUCCCUCAGGUUUUGACCUUGGAAGCUGCUUAGUGGAAUACCUUGAUGGCAGAGCAGGAAAACAGCCGAUUCCUACACUACCACGCGUGCUCUCUUGGGCCAUGCAAGGUACCCUGGUGUCCCAGACAACCUGGAGGAUUUGGGGAUCGUUUUUCAACCUCUGUGGGCUUCAGUCUUUAUCUGAGAUGUGAGAUUGAGGAUUGGAGGCUGAAUCCUGUAUCAUUUGGAUAUAGUGGAGCUGGGCUUGUAUAUGGCCGUGCACAGGGACAAGGCUGGGGAUGGGUCGCACCUAGAACAUUUCAUGAAGGCUGAUUGGCCCAGGCUUCCUUCUCUGGUUCUUGGAUUUCUCUUCAGCCAAUUUGGAAGGCAACACACACACACUGCAGGGAAGAUUAUGUCCAACAGAAGCAGUAGUUGACUUACUGGAGGCGCUUUGCAGGGACUGAGUGUCUGCCACUGGUGACAGUGACUAAUGAAACAGCCCGGUGGACUGCAGUGGCUGCGGGCCGGGACGGCCGAUCCACAUCCACCCAGCGUAAAAUCGAAGGCUCCAAUUUAGCCUGCUGAACAAACAUAUUUAUGGAGGCUUAUUGAACACAAAAUUAAUUUAGGGGGCAUUAAUCUGCAGAGGGCUGGACUGGCAGCUACCGCGGGGGUACUUAAUGGAUGGCGGUAACAAAAUAAGGCAAGCUGCCACGAUCCUUUCUUCAAAUGAGGAAAUAUGAGUUCCCUCAGCGCACUGUGGACUCGGGGCCUUUCUCUAGAAUCAUUCAGCCUCCAGAUAGAACUAGGGGACAGAGGAGAGUCCUGAAGGAAGUAGGUCCUCAUGUCAGGCUUGGCCUCGAGAAGACAUUAGCUGCUGAGGGAUGCCUUCUCCCCUCGCUCUGGCUUCUCUGCUGUGCACUCUGGGGGAUCGGUUGCCUAACUCUCCAUCUGCAUGUGCAGACCAACACCUGGAGCACCGAGCAGAAUGUUAAAAUAACAGACUCGGGCUGUAGAGAUGGCUCAGCUGUUAAGAGCACUGACUGCUCUUCCAGAGGUUCUGAGUUCAAUUCCCAGCACCCACAUGGUGGCUCACAACCAUCUGUAGCGAGAUCCGAUGCCCUCUUCUGGUGUGUCUGAAGACAGCUACAGUGUACUCAUAUAUAAUAAAUAAAUCUUUAAAAAAACAAAAAACAAACAAACAAAAAAAACCGAAAGAAACACAGAAUCUCACUUCCAGCCCUAGAUGGGUUUAGCAGGGGAUGUAUUGUGACCGGGACUCCAGCUGACGUCUGUGUGUGCAGGUGCUCUAGUGUAUUUGUGUAAGUGUGUGAGCACACGCGCAUGCAUCCACACGGAAGCCAGAGGCUGACCUCAGGUGUUGUUCCUCAGGCACUGUCUGGUCUGUAUGGAUUUUUGAGGCAGGGUCUUUUCACUGGGACUUGAGGUUGAUAUCUAGGCUAAGCUGGCUAGCCAGUGAGUUCCCGGGGUUCCUCCAGUCUCUUUCUCCCCAGUACUGAGAUUAUAAAAACACACCACACCACCACACUCAGGCUUAUAAAGUAGGUGUUGGGAACUGAACUUGCAUCCUCUGUAGGAGCACUUUGAGCUCUUAACCACUGAGCCUUCUCUCCAACUCCCUUCAGCUUUUUAUUUUUAAAUUUUAUUUAUUAAUAUUGUGUGUGUGCACGUGCACAUGUGUGUGCUCCAGUGCCUCUGUGGAGGUCAGAGAACUUGUGAGAGCUGGUUCUCUCUCUCCACUGUGGAGUUCCAUCUAACAAACUCAGGUUGUCAGAGAGAGGGAGAGAGGGAAAGGGAAGGGGGGAAGGGGGAGGGGAGAGAGAGAGAGAGAGAGAGAGAGAGAGAGAGAGAGAGAGAGAGCGCUCAAGUGUAAAAGUCUAGAUUAUAUAUUACACAGGUUGGACCCUCUGGGCUAGAAAGUUCAGGGUUGGGGGCAGGGUAUGCCAGGUAGGGACUGAGGCAUGCUGGGAGGAGAACCUAGAGGCUAGGUCUGCUUUGAUAUGUAAAAUAUACACCACCGUUCCUUGUCCCAGGGCUGGAAACCAAACACUUGUAUGUAUGAAAACACUUUUAUUCUGUAGCCCUUGUGACUGACAUUUUGCUUGUCGUGGAGCCCCAGAUGGGGAGUUAGUCUCCUCAGAUGUUUGAGGAAUGCUCAGCUGUUUCUCUGAGACCUGUCAGUAUGGCUGUCUCUGAAUGGAAUCCCUAGAAGCCGUGGGAUCCUUGCUUACUCCUUCCGUUCUUACCUGGGCCAAUUUAUGGAAUCUUUCUUCAUCAGUGUGCCAGGUUCUUGGCAUUGUACAUUUUAUUUCUUUGAAAGUUUUCUUGCUUGCUUGUUUGUUUUGAGAGAGAGAGUCUCUCUGUGUAGCUGGAAUUUGCUAAUGUGGAGCAGGCUGGCUUUGAACUCCCAGAGAUCUGUCUGCCUCUGCCUUCAAGGGCUGGGAUUAAAGACU